rnacentral:rRNA from 1 species
GUGGGGAAUAUUGGACAAUGGGCGCAAGCCUGAUCCAGCCAUGCCGCGUGAGUGAUGAAGGCCUUAGGGUUGUAAAGCUCUUUUGUCCGGGAAGAUAAUGACUGUACCGGAAGAAUAAGCCCCGGCUAACUUCGUGCCAGCAGCCGCGGUAAUACGAAGGGGGCUAGCGUUGUUCGGAAUCACUGGGCGUAAAGCGCACGUAGGCGGACCAUUAAGUCAGGGGUGAAAGCCUGGAGCUCAACUCCAGAACUGCCUUUGAUACUGAUGGUCUCGAGUAUGGAAGAGGUUGGUGGAACUGUGAGUGUAGAGGUGAAAUUCGUAGAUAUUCGCAAGAACACCGGUGGCGAAGGCGGCCAACUGGUCCAUUACUGACGCUGAGGUGCGAAAGCGUGGGGAGCAAACAGGAUUAGAAACCCUGGUAGUCC